rnacentral:rRNA from 1 species
AACGCGAAGAACCUUACCUGGGCUCGAAAUGCAGUGGACCGGGGUGGAAACAUCCCUUCCCCUUAAAAGGCUGCUGCAUAGGUGCUGCAUGGCUGUCGUCAGCUCGUGUCGUGAGAUGUUGGGUUAAGUCCCGCAACGAGCGCAACCCUUAUCCCUAGUUGCCAUCGGGUCAAGCCGGGCACUCUAGUGAAACUGCCUGGGAUAACCAGGAGGAAGGUGGGGAUGACGUCAAGUCCUCAUGGCCUUUAUGUCCAGGGCUACACACGUGCUACAAUGGUCGGUACAAACCGUCGCAAACCCGCGAGGGGGAGCUAAUCGGAAAAAGCCGGCCUCAGUUCGGAUUGGAGUCUGCAACUCGACUCCAUGAAGCUGGAAUCGCUAGUAAUCGCGGAUCAGAACGCCGCGGUGAAUACGUUCCCGGGCCUUGUA